rnacentral:misc_RNA from 1 species
GAUGAAGAACGUAGCGAAAUGCGAUACUUGGUGUGAAUUGCAGAAUCCCGUGAACCAUCGAGUCUUUGAACGCAAGUUGCGCCCGAAGCCAUUAGGCCGAGGGCCCGCCUGCCUGGGUGUCACACGUCGUUGCCCCCCCAUCUACUCCUUCGGGAUUGCGGGGGGCGGAUGAUGGCCUCCCGUGCGCCUCGUCGCGCGGUUGGCAUAAAUGCCAAGUCCUCGGCGACGCACGCCACGACAAUCGGUGGUUGCGAAACCUCGGUUGCCCGUCGUGUGCGGUCGUCGCGCAUCGAGGGCUCGAAAAAAUUGCCGGGCUCCGGCUCGGCUUUCAACGCGACCCCAGGUCAGGCGGGGUUACCCGCUGAAUUUAAGCAUAUCAAUAAGCGGAGGA